UGCAGCAGAGUGGGGCCUGCCACUGAUCCCCGCUCCACUUUCCAGCUGUGCAACCUUAGGCACCUACUGCCUCUCUGAACCAAAGUCUUCUCAUCUGCAAAAUGAGAGAACGCCGUCUACUUCGUGGGAUUGCUGUGGGAGUUCACUGAGAUAACGCUUAGCAUCCUGGGGGGGCGGGGGGGGGGUGUAAACGGCGGAGGGCAGAGCAACAGUCCUAAUGACAGAGGACGAAAACAAGGCCCCUUGAAGGUCCGGGGAGGCGGCCGGCAAGCACCCGAGGAGGGGCCGUCCGCCCUCAAACCCUCCGGAGAAAAAACGCAUGCCAGGGCCCAGACCCUGGGGAAAUAAGUCAGCGCCCCGAGACGCCACGCUCGUGCUUUCAACCCUGGGUCAGGCCCCGCAGAAAUAAAGGAGAUGGCGGCCCCCGUUCCGGAGAAACAACGAGCCCCCAGGGCUCCAAGUGGGGCACCGGGGCCCCAGAGGACACCCCCUGAGCGCCGGCCGGAGGAGGGGAGAGGACGGCGGCGGCCGCUCACCUGGCAGCGGCGU